CUACCACGCAAGUGGAUGCCAAUCCCCAAAACCUCUCUCAGUUCGGAUUGAAGUCUGCAACCCGACUUCAUGAAGCUGGAUUCGCUAGUAAUCGCGCAUCAGCCACGGCGCGGUGAAUACGUUCCCGGGCCUUGUACACACCGCCCGUCAAGCCAUGGGAGCCGGGGGUACCUGAAGUGCGUAACCGCAAGGAGCGCCCUAGGGUAAAACUGGUGACUGGGGCUAAGUCGUAACAAGGUACC
rnacentral:rRNA from 1 species